rnacentral:rRNA from 1 species
UAGUACCGUAGCUAACGCGUGAAGUUGGCCGCCUGGGGAGUACGGUCGCAAGAUUAAUACUCAAAGGAAUUGACGGGGACCCGCACAAGCGGUGGAUGAUGUGGAUUAAUUCGAUGCAACGCGAAAAACCUUACCUACCCUUGACAUGUCCGGAAUCCCGAAGAGAUUUGGGAGUGCUCGAAAGAGAGCCGGAACACAGGUGCUGCAUGGCUGUCGUCAGCUCGUGUCGUGAGAUGUUGGGUUAAGUCCCGCAACGAGCGCAACCCUUAUCAUUAGUUGCCAUCAUUCAGUUGGGCACUCUAAUGAGACUGCCGGUGACAAACCGGAGGAAGGUGGGGAUGACGUCAAGUCCUCAUGGCCCUUAUGGGUAGGGCUUCACACGUCAUACAAUGGUCGGUACAGAGGGUUGCCAACCCGCGAGGGGGAGCUAAUCCCAGAAAGCCGAUCG